CGGGGGGGCAAGCGUUGUUCGGAAUUACUGGGCGUAAAGGGUGCGUAGGCGGCUCUCUAAGUCGGAUGUGAAAACUCUGGGCUCAACCCAGAGCCUGCAUCCGAAACUGGAGGGCUAGGGUUCUGGAGGGGUAAGCGGAAUUCCUGGUGUAGCGGUGAAAUGCGUAGAUAUCAGGAGGAACACCGGUGGCGAAGGCGGCUUUCUGGACAGAUACCGACGCUGAGGCACGAAAGCUAGGGGAGCAAACAGGAUUAGAUACCCUGGUAGUCCUAGCCCUAAACUAUGGAUACUUGCUGUGGGGGGGAUUGAAGCCCCUUGUGGCGAAGCUAACGCAUUAAGUAUCCCGCCUGGGGAGUACGGUCGCAAGGCUG
rnacentral:rRNA from 1 species